CAUGAACGCUGGCGGCAGGCCUAUCACAUGCAGUCGAACGGUAACAGGAAGCAGCUUGCUGCUUUGCUGACGAGUGGCGGACGGGUGAGUAAUGUCUGGGAAACUGCCUGAUGGAGGGGGAUAACUACUGGAAACGGUAGCUAAUACCGCAUAACGUCGCAAGACCAAAGAGGGGGACCUUCGGGCCUCUUGCCAUCGGAUGUGCCCAGAUGGGAUUAGCUUGUUGGUGGGGUAACGGCUCACCUAGGCGACGAUCCCUAGCUGGUCUGAGAGGAUGACCAGCCACACUGGAACUGAGACACGGUCCAGACUCCUACGGGAGGCAGCAGUGGGGAAUAUUGCACAAUGGGCGCAAGCCUGAUGCAGCCAUGCCGCGUGUAUGAAGAAGGCCUUCGGGUUGUAAAGUACUUUCAGCGGGGAGGAAGGGAGUAAAGUUAAUACCUUUGCUCAUUGACGUUACCCGCAGAAGAAGCACCGGCUAACUCCGUGCCAGCCCGCCGCGGUA
rnacentral:rRNA from 1 species